rnacentral:lncRNA from 1 species
GUUCUUUCCUAGAAUAUGCAGUCGUCAACUAUCAUUUGUUUGCUCCUUAUUUUCUCAUGUGAGUAUUUUAUUUUUAUAAUUUUUAAUAUUAUCAGCAUAUGAUUUACUUCUAAUAUUUUCGUGUGAGAAUCAUGUCUUAUAUAUUAAUAUAGUUAGAACAAACAGAUAGUGGCAUAUAUAGAUAUGAAAUAAAAGUAUAUAAUAAAAGAUAUGAUUUUAUAUAUAAAAAAAAGAAAAUAAAAACCACCCACAAAUAUAAACAUAAGUCGCAGUUAUGAUAAAUAUUACCCUUUACCGUUGUUAUGAAUAAAACAAUGUUGUACAAUUUAUUCAAAAAGUAUAAGUGAUAAGAAAUGAAUAUGAAACAAUUAAUUUACAUCAAAUUUUUUUACAGGAUUAAUUAUCAUCAUUUGCUAUCCGUGGUCCGUCGUCGUUGUAUUUUUUUUUUUAACAAAAACAAAAAUACUGAACUCCAAUGAUUUCUCCUACCUACCAACACGACAGACACGGCUAAAUACACAAGAUCAAAAUGUGAAUGUAUAUAGACGACCGUUCGCCUUUUAACAAUAAGAUGAAACAAUUCAAAUGAAAAAUCGAAAGGAUAUUAACUCAUCAGAGAUAUGAGGAUUCAAAUAAAGUAUUUGCGCCAGACACGCGUUUCGUGUACAAAUGACUCAUCAGUGACGCUCUAAAAAUCUAAAAAAGAGUUUAAAAUGCCAAACAAUAUACAAAGUUUUAUGAGCAUUCGGGUCUAAACAUUACUAAAUGUUUGACCAAAUACAGAUAAGGUAAUCUAUCCCUGAGGUUGAAACGAUUAGAAUCUUAUUGUUCAAAGGCGAACGGUUGUCUUUCGAACCUGAGACAGUGGUGUAAGAGUACGACAAAAAAACAAAACCCAUCAAGAUCUUGCUGCAGGUCUUUGAAUUCUUUGAGUUGUGAGAACAUUAAAUAUUAUUGUUAUGAAGGAAAAAGGGUGAUUAAAAGUAAAAGAAAAAAACAGAAACCAACAAAUAUUAGUAACUCUUGAUUUAAACUCAUUGUAACAUUGUGUAAAACAAUGUGUAAGUUGCAAUCCUUUACAAUACAGAGUAUUAUAUUAAUGUGUACUAAUUUGAGCUGUUUCUUGUUAUAACCUUCUUUUUUCUUGUUUACCCCCCCUCCCCCCCCCACACACACCCCUUCAUCCUCAUUCACUAAGUGUCUGUCCCAAGUCAGAUCCGCCAGUUCAGUGGUUGUCGCUGGUUCGUGUUUGCCAUAUUUGUUUUCCGUUUUUCUGUGUUGUUAUAAUUUACAGCCGAUGGAUUUUUCUCAGUAUUGAAGGACGUACGGUUGCUUAUAAAUAUAUAUAUCUACUUUGUUUGGACAUUAGUGGAUAGUUUUCGAAUUAGCCACCUUACCAGAUCUGGUUAUUUUUGCAUUAUUCAUGGAUUGUAAUGAAAUUUUAUAUAAUUGUUAUUCUUAAAAAUGCACUAUUAUAAAUGCAUAUUUCCUAAAAAUUAUGUAUUCAUAUAUUUGAAGGUAUAACUCUGACCGAGCAGCUGAAGUUGUGUUCUAAAACUUGUUAUGAUUGUAAAGGAUGUUGUGUAAGAAGAGGCUGCAAUUCUUUCAAUUCAUGGAGUUGUGUAAACAAUAAAUGUUAUUGUGAUUGUGGAGGAUAUCGUACAAAGGGCAAUAAGAAGUAACAGAAAACAGAAGUCAGCAACAAUAAGUAACGCUUGAUUUAAACUCAUUGUAAGAUGUAAACCUUACCAAUAUAGACAGAGUAUUAUAUAAAUUGAUAGAAUUUUGAGUUGUUUCUUGGUUCUUUUUUUAUAUUGUAGUACGUUUUUUGAAAGUUGUUACCUUUUUUUAUGAUUGUCAUAUUAACAACCAAGGUAGAUAACUUCAACUUUCCAGUCAUUAACAGGAUUAUAAAUGAUAUAACG